GCAAGUCGUGCGAGAAAGUAUCUUCGGAUAUUAGUAGAGCGGCGGACGGGUGAGUAACGCGUAGGAAUCUACCUAGUCUACGGGGAUAGCCCGAGGAAACUCGGAUUAAUACCGUAUACCUCCUUCGGGAGAAAGAAGGCCUCUCUUUGAAGCUUUCGCUACUAGAUGAGCCUGCGUAAGAUUAGCUUGUUGGUGAGGUAAAGGCUCACCAAGGCUACGAUCUUUAGCGGGUCUGAGAGGACGAUC
rnacentral:rRNA from 1 species